rnacentral:rRNA from 1 species
UGGGAUAAGCCUGGGAAACUGGGUCUAAUACCGGAUAUGACCAUGGGAUGCAUGUCCUGUGGUGGAAAGGUUUACUGGUGCAGGAUGAGCCCGCGGCCUAUCAGCUUGUUGGUGGGGUAAUGGCCUACCAAGGCGACGACGGGUAGCCGGCCUGAGAGGGCGACCGGCCACACUGGGACUGAGACACGGCCCAGACUCCUACGGGAGGCAGCAGUGGGGAAUAUUGCACAAUGGGCGAAAGCCUGAUGCAGCGACGCCGCGUGAGGGAUGACGGCCUUCGGGUUGUAAACCUCUUUCAGCAGGGACGAAGCGCAAGUGACUGUACCUGCAGAAGAAGCACCGGCUAACUACGUGCCAGCAGCCGCGGUAAUACGUAGGGUGCGAGCGUUGUCCGGAAUUACUGGGCGUAAAGAGUUCGUAGGCGGUUUGUCGCGUUGUGUGUGAAAUCCCGCAGCUCAACUGCGGGCUUGCAGGCGAUACGGGCAGACUUGAGUACCGCAGGGGAGACUGGAAUUCCUGGUGUAGCGGUGAAAUGCGCAGAUAUCAGGAGGAACCCCGGUGGCGAAGGCGGGUCUUUGGGCAGUAACUGACGCUGAGGAACGAAAGCGUGGGUAGCGAACAGGAUUAGAUACCCUGGUAGUCCACGCCGUAAACGGUGGGCGCUAGG